rnacentral:rRNA from 1 species
CACGCUGUAAACGAUGAUUACUGGUUGUUUGCGAUACAUUGCAAGUGACUGAGCGAAAGCAUUAAGUAAUCCACCUGGGGAGUACGUCGGCAACGAUGAAACUCAAAGGAAUUGACGGGGGCCCGCACAAGCGGAGGAACAUGUGGUUUAAUUCGAUGAUACGCGAGGAACCUUACCUGGGUUUAAAUGGGAAGUGACAGGCUUGGAAACAGGCCCUUCUUCGGACACUUUUCAAGGUGC